CAUGAUGACUAGAUUGGUUACAACAUAUUUGUGACAUAGAGAACAGCAAUUUCAAAUGGCAUUUUUGAGACUGUCUUUGGUUUACUGUAGUUUUAAGGAGAAAAUACUCAGCAAUGGCGUUGACUUAUGAAUUUACACAUAGUUUGUCUUAAAGCAUAUUAAAAACAGCACAUAGGCAAAACGACUUUAAAAAUGUGAUUUUCAUGUUACAUUGCUUUCUUGAAAGAACUUUAAAAUGAAAGAACAUUCCUAUACAUUUUUUUCUUUCUUUUUUUCUCAAACCUUUUGUAACGGGGCGGGUUUUCAGGAACUACAAGUCCCAUCAGCCUCAGUUCUAUAAAAGGAAGUGAUGAGAUUUGUUCUUUUAAUUCCGCCCUUUUGAUUUUCCGCUGACGAUUUAUGAAUGGAAGUCGCGGCAGAUCUAAGGUAUGGCAUUGUGAUGCUAGAUAAGUAAAUCUUGCGAAAUUAUAUGGAGUGAUGUGUUAAAUAAUGCGUAGCCCUUCUGUUUGUAUGUCUUCCUGUUCAUUGAAAUGAAAGUCGUAGCUGGUUUACGUGUUGCAUGGUGGCAAUAGACCAAAAGUAAGGAUCUUUUGUGCAGUCACAUGUCAAAUAUGGAACAUUGUUGAGUGUUGAACACAUGAUGCAUCGUUUAGGAGUAUUAUGGCUGGAUGGUUGCCCGAGUGUCAUAAACCAAAAUAACGGAUGAUUUCUUUUUGACCUGACUGUGGCCGCGGGGUUGCCUUCACUGGUGGAUAGCGGUGGUGUGGUCACUUUAUUUUUCUUUCCUUUUAGGUCUACAGUGGGAUUUGCUGUAAGGAGCACGUUUGUCUGUAUGCCAUUUCUGUCUUCACAACCUAGGUAACCUGUGGCCAUUGGCGGGUUUAGUUUAUUUUUGUUUUAUUUUUAUUUAUCUUUCUUUGUGGGUCAUUGCAUUGAAGGUCUGUUGCAUCCUUUUAACAUGUUAAUGUUUGUUUUUGUUUUUUCGUAGUUAUAUUAUUUUCUUUUGAAUAAAAAUGUUUGUGUAUUGAAGCUUCACUACCGCCUUCUGUCUGAUUACUUCCCUUUUUGGGGUCACGAUG